rnacentral:rRNA from 1 species
AGUGGACGCUGGCGGUAGGCCUAACACAUGCAAGUCGAACGGCAGCACAGUAAGAGCUUGCUCUUACGGGUGGCGAGUGGCGGACGGGUGAGGAAUACAUCGGAAUCUACUUUUUCGUGGGGGAUAACGUAGGGAAACUUACGCUAAUACCGCAUACGACCUACGGGUGAAAGCAGGGGAUCUUCGGACCUUGCGCGAUUGAAUGAGCCGAUGUCGGAUUAGCUAGUUGGCGGGGUAAAGGCCCACCAAGGGGACGAUCCGUAGCUGGUCUGAGAGGAUGAUCAGCCACACUGGAACUGAGACACGGUCCAGACUCCUACGGGAGGCAGCAGGGGGUAAUAUUGGACAAUGGGCGCAAGCCUGAUCCAGCCAUACCGCGUGGGUGAAGAAGGCCUUCGGGUUGUAAAGCCCUUUUGUUGGGAAAGAAAAGCAGCAGGUUAAUACCCCGCUGUUCGGACGGGACCCAAAGAAUAAGCACCGGCUAACUUCGG